GGUUGGCGUGAACAAAGAUAUGUCCCUCUUGGGCCUCGUUUGUUUCCUUCUAUCUUUUCUCUCAUAUCAUCCUUCCCUGACCUACAAACCAAUCCCUUAAGCUGAACCCACUCUCUAAAACAUAAAAGCUUCUGUAAUCAUUUGCAAAAUCCCUCUAAUUUUCCUCUAUUCUCUUUGUUUGUGGGAAGUACUACAUGACCAAGUUAUUUAUAGCUUUUGUUUCAUGUCCUUUAGUUUGUGAUUCUAGUUCCAAACCCAUAUAGUUCUAGAGCUAGUCAUGGCAUGUUUGAAUUUAGAUAGCAGAGAGGAUAUAUAGAGAGAGGAUUUAACGUUACUUAUCUGCAGAUUCUGCACUCCUGGCGGCGACGGCGCAAAAUAAGUGCACUGCACUAGUGUGCUCUUGUUAUGCACCAGCAAGCAAGCACCCAGGGAACAAAGGUGAGCAGGUUAGCGUCAGAAGUGACAACAGCAGGGAAACCAGUAAGAACUUGUCUGGUACAGAGAUUAAUAGAGAUGGUAAUGAUCAAUCAGAAGGUCAUCAAGAGGAGAGAAAUGGUUCCACUCACAGUAGUAGCAAUGAGUCCCAAGGACCUUGCUUUGUAACCCCCCUUCCUCUUAAGAGUAAUCUCAAGAAGACUACAGUGGUAGAGGAGAAUCAACUGAGAAAUAGUAGAAAGGUUAGUUGGCCUGAUGCCCAUGGAAAAGAUCUUGCCCAGGUUCUAGUGUAUGACUCAAGUGUACUGGAAAAGGGGGAGCUUGGGGGAGUGAAGAAUUCUUGCAUUUGUGCUAUUCAGUGAAAAAAGAAAUUAAAAGAAGCAACCAAGACAGACUGGUGAGCUUGAGGCAUAAAGAAUCCAAGGUAUUACAGUCAUGAAAGAUGUACAACACAGAUUUUGCAAGUUUUAAUGCAUAUUGAGCUUCAGGCAUGUCAUCUGUUCAUGUAACCUAUAAAGAGAGGUCACUUGUUUUCAGUCAGAAUCAGAGAAUUGUUUCAAGAUUACAUACUUUGUCCAAUGUUGUCCAAGAUCUUCCACAAUGUGGUGAUUAUGGUGGCUACUUACACCCACUAGUCCAAAAGCCUUGUUCCAUCUCUUGACAAAGAAAUGAAUAGAAAUUUUGAGUUCA